AGAUUAGAGUUUGAUCAUGGCUCAGAUUGAACGCUGGCGGAAUGCUUUACACAUGCAAGUCGAACGGUAACAGCAGAGCUUGCUCUGGCUGACGAGUGGCGGACGGGUGAGUAAUAUAUCGGAACGUGUCCAAUAAUGGGGGAUAACUAGCCGAAAGGUUGGCUAAUACCGCAUACGCCCUGAGGGGGAAAGCUGGGGAUUCUUCGGAACCUGGCGUUAAUGGAGCGGCCGAUACCUGAUUAGCUAGUUGGUGGGGUAAAAGCCUACCAUGGCAACGAUCAGUAGCUGGUCUGAGAGGACGACCAGCCACACUGGGACUGAGACACGGCCCAGACUCCUACGGGAGGCAGCAGUGGGGAAUUUUGGACAAUGGGGGCAACCCUGAUCCAGCCAUUCCGCGUGAGUGAAGAAGGCCUUCGGGUUGUAAAGCUCUUUCGCAAGGGAAGAAACGAUAUGGGUUAAUAGCCUAUGUUAAUGACGGUACCUUGACAAGAAGCACCGGCUAACUACGUGCCAGCAGCCGCGGUAAUACGUAGGGUGCAAGCGUUAAUCGGAAUUACUGGGCGUAAAGCGUGCGCAGGCUGUUUUGUAAGUCAGAUGUGAAAUCCCCGAGCUCAACUUGGGAACUGCGUUUGAAACUACAAGACUAG
rnacentral:rRNA from 1 species